rnacentral:tRNA from 1 species
GCUGAUAGCCUAGAUAUGGGUCUUAUGUUUCGGCCAUAGGGUUGUAGUACAGAGUGUGUUACUGUCAGUU